CCUACGGGUGGCAGCAGUGAGGAAUAUUGGUCAACGGACGAGAGUCUGAACCAGCCAAGUAGCGUGAAGGAUGACUGCCCUAUGGGUUGUAAACUUCUUUUAUAUGGGAAUAAAAUGUUCCACGUGUGGGAUUUUGUAUGUACCAUAUGAAUAAGGAUCGGCUAACUCCGUGCCAGCAGCCGCGGUAAUACGGAGGAUCCGAGCGUUAUCCGGAUUUAUUGGGUUUAAAGGGAGCGUAGGUGGAUUGUUAAGUCAGUUGUGAAAGUUUGCGGCUCAACCGUAAAAUUGCAGUUGAAACUGGCAGUCUUGAGUACAGUAGAGGUGAGCGGAAUUCGUGGUGUAGCGGUGAAAUGCUUAGAUAUCACGAAGAACUCCGAUUGCGAAGGCAGUUCACUGGACUGCAACUGACACUGAGGCUCGAAAGUGUGGGUAUCAAACAGGAUUAGAUACCCGGGUAGUC
rnacentral:rRNA from 1 species